rnacentral:rRNA from 1 species
UACGAAGGGGGCUAGCGUUGCUCGGAAUAAUUGGGCGUAAAGGGUGCGUAGGCGGGUGUUUAAGUGAGGGGUGAAAUCCUGGAGCUCAACUCCAGAACUGCCUUUGAUACUGAAGAUCUUGAGUUCGGGAGAGGUGAGUGGAACUGCGAGUGUAGAGGUGAAAUUCGUAGAUAUUCGCAAGAACACCAGUGGCGAAGGCGGCUCACUGGCCCGAUACUGACGCUGAGGCACGAAAGCGUGGGGAGCAAACAGG